AUGGGUGAGUAACACGUACUCAACGUACCUUUUAGRUUGGGAUAGCGGAUGGAAACAUCCGAUAAUACCGAAUACUUAUUAUUUUUGCAUGAAAGUAAUAUAAAAGGAAGCGUUUGCUUCGCUAAAAGAUCGGAGUGCGCAACAUUAGCUAGUUGGUGAGGUAACGGCCCACCAAGGCGAUGAUGUUUAGCGGGGUUGAGAGAUUGAUCCGCCACACUGGGACUGAGAUACGGCCCAGACUCCUACGGGAGGCAGCAGUAGGGAAUAUUCCACAAUGGACGAAAGUCUGAUGGAGCGACACAGCGUGCAGGAUGAAGGCCMUAUGGGUUGUAAACUGCUGUGGUUAGGGAAGAAAAAGUAGCAUAGGAAAUGAUGCUACCUUGACGGUACCUGAUUAGAAAGCAACGGCUAACUAUGUGCCAGCAGCCGCGGUAAUACAUAGGUUGCAAGCGUUAUCCGAAAUUAUUGGGCGUAAAGCGUCUGUAGGUUGUUUGUUAAGUCUGGCGUUAAAUUUUGGGGCUCAACCCCAAAACGCGUUGGAUACUGGCAGACUAGAGUUAUGUAGAGGUUAGCGGAAUUCCUUGUGAAGCGGUGAAAUGCGUAGAUAUAAGGAAGAACAUCAAUAUGGCGAAGGCAGCUAACUGGGCAUACACUGACACUGAGAGACGAAAGCGUGGGGAGCAAACAGGAUUAGAUACCCUGGUAGUCCACGCCCUAAACGAUGAUCAUUAGUUGAUGGGGAACUCAUCGACGCAGCUAACGCAUUAAAUGAUCCGCCUGAGUAGUACGUUCGCAAGAAUAAAACUUAAAGGAAUUGACGGGGAUCCGCACAAGCGGUGGAGCAUGUGGUUUAAUUUGAAGAUACGCGUAGAACCUUACCCACUCUUGACAUCUUCUGCAAAGCUAUGGAGACAUAGUGGAGGUUAACAGAAUGACAGAUGGUGCA
rnacentral:rRNA from 1 species